rnacentral:lncRNA from 1 species
AUCGGUCUGCGCGGGCGCAGUGGCGGCAGCCGCUGCACCCGCGUGGCUAGAAGCCCACGGUCUGCAGGCGAGUUGAGGUUUCAGGUCAUUCCAGCUUCGGCCGUGGGGCCCCGCUCAGACGCGCGCCUGUCUCCUGGUGAAAUCCUGGAGGCUGUCCUUUCCACCGUCCUGUCUGCACGAGGAGGACACAGGGGUCAGCUUCCUGGGAGAAGGGAGUCGUCCGGAUGGCUGGUCCCCGGAGGGAUGACUUACUGCAUGAACAUCGAAAUCAGAUGAACCCUGACGGCGACAGCGAUGGUGCACGGGCCCCUCACCCCGAUACCCAGGACCCAGAGAGGAUCGGCUGGAAGUGAUGGACACGAAACCACCGCCCCCCGCCCCGGAUAAAGUGGCAGGAGCAGCGACACCCGAGCCUCUUCCUCUGCUGCCAGACGCCUGCUCCAAGGAAGUUUCCUAAAACCAGAUAUCGCCACCUCCUCCUUCCUCCUGCUCCACCUGAGCCUCUGCUUCCUCUGCGGAGAACCUUGUGCCCAGGAAUCCACCUAAAUCCAGGGAUCUCUACAAGCUCCCUCUUCCCUCUGCACCCGAGCCGCUUCAGCCUCAGCAGGACACGCAUUCGAAGGAACCUGUCUACAUCCAUGAAAGCUUUUUCUUCCCUCCCACCUGAGCCUCUUUCUGUGCUGCCAGAACCUGUUGCAAGGAAGAUACUUCAAACAGAGGUCUCCGCAGCCUCUGUCUUCCCUCUGUAGCUGAGCUGCUUCUGCCUCUGCAGGACUCCACUUGAAGGAAGCUGUCUAAAUCCAUGUAAGAGAUCUCCUCGUAUUUUUUUCCCUCCCCCCUGAGGCUCUUCCUCCUCACCAGACACCUGUUCCAAGGAAGCUCCUGCAACAAGGGUGUGGGCUUGUGUCGUGAAGGUUGAGUAUCCAGAGUGACAGUGAAGAAUCCAUACUCCCACCCAAGAGUGGAUUUCAGUGUGCCUGAGAGGAAGAAGAGGAAGACAUCCUGCUGGCAUGUGCCCCAGGUAAGAUGUGCCCUCAGGGGUGCUCGAAAGGCAGGAGAGGCACAGACGGAGGAAGAUCUAAGGAACAAUGCAGCGCACCCCCAAGAGAGAGGGCUCCUGCAUAAGGACAGCCCGCCCACCACAAGACGUCAGCUUUUACACACACUCUUCAUUGACGACCAGCAGCCCAGCUCUCCAGAGGCCAAGCCCUGGACCCUGGAAAACUGCAGGCCCCAAACCCCAGCCAGCCACCUGCGUGCUAACACUCCUACUUCUGGAGAACCCCAAGGCCCUGUGGACCCCAGUGGCACAUACAACGAUGUGGGCUUUGGGUUGGCUGAGUCGACUGAACCUGACCAUGACAUUUGGAGGGCAGAACAUGUUCCCUUUUACCGGGUGUGCCAGUUCAGACGGGAGUCACCUGAGGCCUGUACGCAACCUCUUUUCGAAGGACAUCUCCUGGGGGAUCCUCCCAUCCCCGUCUUGAAACCUUUUUCUUUUUUUUGUCUUUUUACCUUUUCUAGGGCCACUUCCCAUGGCAUAUGGAGGUUCCCAGGCUAGGGAUCUAAUUGGAGUUGUAGCCACCAGCCUACACCAGAGCCACAGCCACAGCAACGCUGGAUCGGAGCUGCAUCUGUGACCUACACCACAGCCAGAUCCUUAACCCACUGAGCAAGGCCAGGGAUCGAACCCGCAACCUCAUGGUUCCUAGUCGGAUUCAAUAACCACUGCGCCACAACAGGAACCCUGAAACCCAUCUUUUAACCUGGAGGUGAUACUACCAAGCCUCGGCUGGGCUUGAAACGUGUUUUGGCGCCCUCUGGUGGCCAUUCUCUCUAAUGACAACUCACAGCCCUGCCUCCAGCUUCCUGAACAGGAAAGAAUGCCCUUGGCUUGUGCUCCAAAUAGUUGAUUUACUCCCUCCUCUCACUCUAAGAACAAUCCUGCUCUUUCUAGGGACAUUAUCAUUCUCUCAAAGUCAGCUAUGGCACUCACUCCUCCCAAUCCUUCCCCACUCUCUAAAUCCUUGAGUCGAACCCAUCCAAAUCUGGUGACAGGAUUUCAAUGAAUCCUGUUCCCCAUUCUUCAUUUCUGGGUUUUGGCCAGAGGUUUGUUUUUCCUCUCCGGGGGGGGGGGGAAAUUAGAGGAGGGGAGAGGCUCUGAACAAAGGAAAAGAAACUUUUCAGAGAAUCCUCAAGAGACCCAUCUCUGGGAUGAAUGCAGCCAGUGGGCUGAUCAAGGAAGCACGGGUUUAGUGCAUUCAAUUCACAAGCACCCACCCACCUGUCCUGAGGGCAAACCCUGCAGAAGCCUGAUUGGGAGCACUGAAAGCAUAGUCCUCAGUCUCAUGCUUUUUGGCUGAGAUGUCAGCCUCUGCGGAAGCCGAAGGCCAUCAGAACUCUAGACGGCCUGUCCAAUCAUCUGGAAUUUAGGCUUCACUAGCUAUCUGAAAGUGACCCACAGAUGAUAAGAGCAGGACAAGUCCUUCCUAUCAGGUGAGUUAAUUUAGACCUGUAACCUAGCCCUCCUGCCAAGGCAUGUCCCGUGGGGAUCCACUUCACCCAAUUCCAGCCUCACCUCUGGGCUGGGAUUUGCCAAUGCCAAGCAGCUGCUGGGCCCUGUCAGUGCUCUGUCGCCCUCUGGUGGCCAACCCCUCAAAUAACAACUCAGAGCCCUUCCUCCUGCCUCCUGACCAAAGCCGUGGAUGCACUGCACUCUCCUCCUUCAGCUGAAGGCCGAACUCCCUCCUACUCUCAUCCUAAGUUCCACCUUGUGCCUUACAGAGGCCAGAAGUCUCUCUCAAAGUCUCCUGGGACUCUCCAUCAUCCGGCCUAUCCAACCCACUACCCUACAUUAUUGGCCGAUCCCACUUCAAGUCAGCUCAACAGCUGGAAAUCCAUAAGCCUGCAUUAAUACAUGUGACCUAGUACACACUCUGGUUAGUUCCUCAGGAAUAAGUUGCAGGAAGCAGUGGGGCAGGUAGACAAAGAAAAAAAAGAAACUCUAGGGAAUAAUUUGAGACUUAAAUCCCAGGAAGGAGCACAUCCCGGCCAGCCCAAGAUGCCACUUCUACACACUCCAUUCAGGUCCUCAAGCGCUGCUUUCCAGAUGCCACCUCUGACCAAGCCCCAUUUUGGUAAAGGGACAUAUGCGAGGCUCAAACCAAGUACCUGUGAAUUCUGGGUUUUCAUGCUGCAGAACCCAGAGGCUGUAAGACGCCCCCCCCCCAUAGCCUGUCAAAUCAUCAGUACUUAGGGCUCCGUGAUCCCUAUGGAAAUGAUCCCUAGUCGUGAAGCAGGAACUACGCACCCACUCCCAGGACAUGUGUUUGGGACUCGAGAGUCAGAAACAACAUGUAACUCAACUGACCUCACUGGGCACGUCCUCUGGGUGCCACCAGCACCCACUCCAACCACAUUUCCUAUGCUCGAGAUGCCAACACGUAACAGCAUCUCAGUAUGUUUGGGCUCCUCUUCCUCUAGUGGCCAUUACUACUCUUGUCCCACACUCUGCCUCCUGACCACACCUGGUUCUGUUGGCACAGUUUUUGUGUACCUAUAAGCCAGCGUUGGUCCUCCUGUCUGGUUCACUCUCUCAGAAUCAUCUAAGGCCUUAUGGAGGUGGUAAUUCUGAGUCCUCCAUAUGCCUCCCGGCUCCCUGUGUGUCAUCACACCUAUGAGUCCAUCAAGGAAACACACUUGGAGUCAGGUAACUGCCUUUACAUUAUUCCCCACAACACCUCACAUCUCCAGCCUUUGUUUUGUGUCACCUGGCUUUGGGUAAGAUGGAGAAAAAGUAAGGCGCAUUGCAGAACACCCUUGGGAGAGGGCUCCUGCAUAAAGACAGCCUGCCCGCCACAAGACAUCGGCUGUACACUCGCUCUUCAGUGAUGACCAGCAGCCCAGCUCUCCAGACCCCUGGACUCUGGGAAUCUGCAUGUCCAGUAAUCCAGCCACAUGCCUGCCUGCUCAGAGUUCUACUUCUGAGGAACCCCAAGGCCAUAGGAGCCCUGAUGGCCUGUCCUCCAACGUGGGCUUUGGGCUGGCUGGGUCGACUGAAGGUGACCCUGAUAUUUGGAAGGCAGAACACUUUCCCUUUUACGGGAUAUUCUAAUUCAGACUCGAGGGUCAGCUGUGGCCUGUAUGUGACCACCUUUUAAUGGACACUUCCUGGGGGAUCAUCUGGCUACAGAGCUGUCUGAAAGGUGGAAAGGGCAGCACAAGUCCUUCCUAUCAGGUGAAUCAAUUGAGACUUGAGAGUCAGCAGCAAACUGUAACCUAGCCCUCCUUGCAAUACAUGCCUCAGGGGGAUCCACCUCUGCCAACUCAAACCCCACCUCUGGGCUGGGAUUCGCCAAUGCCAAGCAGCUGCUGGGCUCUGCCAGUGCUCCUUUGCCCUGUGGUGAUGAAUCAUCAAAUAAGAAUUCAGAGCCCUUCAUCCUGUAUCCUGACCAAAGCCACACUAGCACCACGCUCGCCUUAUUCACCUGAAGGCGCAUCUCCCUCCUACCCUCCUUCUAAGUACAACUGUGUGCUUUACAGGGGCCAGAGGUCUCUCUCAAAGUCUCCUGCGACUCUCCCUCCUCCUCCCUGCCCAUCACCACUACCCCAUGUCAUCCAGCUGAUCCCACUUCAGUUCAGCUCACCACCUGUAAAUACAUCUGGCUGCCUGAAUACAUGCAACCUAUUCCU